rnacentral:rRNA from 1 species
AUGGUUAACCAGAAACCGAAGGAAAUAAAUCAACCAAAAAACCUCAUUAUGCAUUGCAACUCACAAAUGACCACUUCAAAGAACAUGCAAGUAUCUAUGUCAUUAACAAUUGCAAACAUAAGUUUCUUUUUACUACAGUUGUUGUAUGUACUAUCACACAGUUCCUCAUUCUGUUCUCACUCAAUAAUAAGAAAAAUGAAAAGAAAAGAUAGAGAUAAUCUGCCGCAAUUGCACUUCGGUGUCAUGGAUUCAAUCUGCCGCUUCAACAUCUCAUUAUCCGGCAGCACUCUGUCGCUAUCUUCUACCUAUGAAUAA